rnacentral:tRNA from 1 species
AUAGCGGGGUGGAGCAGCCUGGAGUGCUCGUCGGGCCCAUAACCCGAAGGUCGUGUGGUUCAAAUCCCACCCCCGCUAUA